GUGCUUGCACUGGCUGUCGAGUGGCGCACGGGUGAGUAAUGUAUAGCUUACGUGCCCCAUAGAGGGGGAUAACUACUAGAAAUGGUAGCUAAUACCCCAUACUCCUUAUAGUAGGGAUACUAUAAGGGAAAGGAGUAAUCCGCUAUGGGAUCGGGCUAUAUCGUAUCAGCUAGUUGGUGAGGUAAAGGCUCACCAAGGCUAUGACGCGUAGCUGGUCUGAGAGGAUGAUCAGCCACACUGGAACUGAGACACGGUCCAGACUCCUACGGGAGGCAGCAGUGGGGAAUAUUGCACAAUGGGGGAAACCCUGAUGCAGCAACGCCGCGUGGAGGAUGACGCAUUUCGGUGUGUAAACUCCUUUUAUAUGGGAAGAUGAUGACGGUACCAUAUGAAUAAGCACCGG
rnacentral:rRNA from 1 species